rnacentral:lncRNA from 1 species
UAAUAUUUAUUAUGAAAAGUAUUAGUCAAAAUAAAAAUAAAAAAAUAUUAGUCAAAAUAAAAAAAUCAAAGAUUCCACUAAAAUAAAAUUUUAAAUUUUCAACAAAAAAAAAGAUAGUCAAUCAAAUCUUGUAUCAAAUCUAUGAAAACAAAACCAUAAGAAAUAUCUUGAAGAGGAUUAUAUGAAAUAAAACAUUAAAAAG